UACGGAGGAUGCAAGCGUUAUCCGGAUUUAUUGGGUUUAAAGGGUGCGUAGGCGGAUGCCUAAGCGUGAGGUGAAAUCCCCGGGCUCAACCUGGGAACUGCCUCGCGAACUGGGUGUCUGGAAUGCCCCUGCCGUGGGAGGAAUGUGUGGUGUAGCGGUGAAAUGCAUAGAGAUCACACAGAACACCGAUUGCGAAGGCAUCUCACGAAGGGGUGAUUGACGCUGAGGCACGAAAGCGUGGGGAUCAAAC
rnacentral:rRNA from 1 species